rnacentral:rRNA from 1 species
AUUAGACGAAUCAUCUGGAAAGAUGAAUCAAAGAAGGUAAUAAUCCUGUAGUCGAAAAUGUUGUCUCUCUUGAGUGGAUCCUGAGUACGACGGAGCACGUGAAAUUCCGUCGGAAUCUGGGAGGACCAUCUCCUAAGGCUAAAUACUCUCUAGUGACCGAUAGUGAACCAGUACCGUGAGGGAAAGGUGAAAAGCACCCCGGAAGGGGAGUGAAAUAGAACCUGAAACCGUGUGCUUACAAGUAGUCAGAGCCCGUUAAUGGGUGAUGGCGUGCCUUUUGUAGAAUGAACCGGCGAGUUACGAUUUGAUGCAAGGUUAAGCAGUAAAUGUGGAGCCGUAGCGAAAGCGAGUCUGAAUAGGGCGUUUAGUAUUUGGUCGUAGACCCGAAACCAGGUGAUCUACCCUUGGUCAGGUUGAAGUUCAGGUAACACUGAAUGGAGGACCGAACCGACUUACGUUGAAAAGUGAGCGGAUGAACUGAGGGUAGCGGAGAAAUUCCAAUCGAACCUGGAGAUAGCUGGUUCUCUCCGAAAUAGCUUUAGGGCUAGCCUCAAGUGAUGAUUAUUGGAGGUAGAGCACUGUUUGGACGAGGGGCCCCUCUCGGGUUACCGAAUUCAGACAAACUCCGAAUGCCAAUUAAUUUAACUUGGGAGUCAGAACAUGGGUGAUAAGGUCCGUGUUCGAAAGGGAAACAGCCCAGACCACCAGCUAAGGUCCCAAAAUAUAUGUUAAGUGGAAAAGGAUGUGGCGUUGCCCAGACAACUAGGAUGUUGGCUUAGAAGCAGCCAUCAUUUAAAGAGUGCGUAAUAGCUCACUAGUCGAGUGACACUGCGCCGAAAAUGUACCGGGGCUAAACAUAUUACCGAAGCUGUGGAUUGUCCUUUGGACAAUGGUAGGAGAGCGUUCUAAGGGCGUUGAAGCAUGAUCGUAAGGACAUGUGGAGCGCUUAGAAGUGAGAAUGCCGGUGUGAGUAGCGAAAGACGGGUGAGAAUCCCGUCCACCGAUUGACUAAGGUUUCCAGAGGAAGGCUCGUCCGCUCUGGGUUAGUCGGGUCCUAAGCUGAGGCCGACAGGCGUAGGCGAUGGAUAACAGGUUGAUAUUCCUGUACCACCUAUAAUCGUUUUAAUCGAUGGGGGGACGCAGUAGGAUAGGCGAAGCGUGCGAUUGGAUUGCACGUCUAAGCAGUAAGGCUGAGUAUUAGGCAAAUCCGGUACUCGUUAAGGCUGAGCUGUGAUGGGGAGAAGACAUUGAGUCUUCGAGUCGUUGAUUUCACACUGCCGAGAAAAGCCUCUAGAUAGAAAAUAGGUGCCCGUACCGCAAACCGACACAGGUAGUCAAGAUGAGAAUUCUAAGGUGAGCGAGCGAACUCUCGUUAAGGAACUCGGCAAAAUGACCCCGUAACUUCGGGAGAAGGGGUGCUCUUUAGGGUUAACGCCCAGAAGAGCCGCAGUGAAUAGGCCCAAGCGACUGUUUAUCAAAAACACAGGUCUCUGCUAAACCGUAAGGUGAUGUAUAGGGGCUGACGCCUGCCCGGUGCUGGAAGGUUAAGAGGAGUGGUUAGCUUCUGCGAAGCUACGAAUCGAAGCCCCAGUAAACGGCGGCCGUAACUAUAACGGUCCUAAGGUAGCGAAAUUCCUUGUCGGGUAAGUUCCGACCCGCACGAAAGGCGUAACGAUUUGGGCACUGUCUCAACGAGAGACUCGGUGAAAUCAUAGUACCUGUGAAGAUGCAGGUUACCCGCGACAGGACGGAAAGACCCCGUGGAGCUUUACUGUAGCCUGAUAUUGAAAUUCGGCACAGCUUGUACAGGAUAGGUAGGAGCCUUUGAAACGUGAGCGCUAGCUUACGUGGAGGCGCUGGUGGGAUACUACCCUAGCUGUGUUGGCUUUCUAACCCGCACCACUUAUCGUGGUGGGAGACAGUGUCAGGCGGGCAGUUUGACUGGGGCGGUCGCCUCCUAAAAGGUAACGGAGGCGCUCAAAGGUUCCCUCAGAAUGGUUGGAAAUCAUUCAUAGAGUGUAAAGGCAUAAGGGAGCUUGACUGCGAGACCUACAAGUCGAGCAGGGUCGAAAGACGGACUUAGUGAUCCGGUGGUUCCGCAUGGAAGGGCCAUCGCUCAACGGAUAAAAGCUACCCCGGGGAUAACAGGCUUAUCUCCCCCAAGAGUUCACAUCGACGGGGAGGUUUGGCACCUCGAUGUCGGCUCAUCGCAUCCUGGGGCUGUAGUCGGUCCCAAGGGUUGGGCUGUUCGCCCAUUAAAGCGGUACGCGAGCUGGGUUCAGAACGUCGUGAGACAGUUCGGUCCCUAUCCGUCGUGGGCGUAGGAAAUUUGAGAGGAGCUGUCCUUAGUACGAGAGGACCGGGAUGGACAUACCUCUGGUGUACCAGUUGUCGUGCCAACGGCAUAGCUGGGUAGCUAUGUGUGGACGGGAUAAGUGCUGAAAG